UAUGUCGCUGGUUCAAGUCCAGCAGGAGGAGCCAAUUUUUCUUUUGGACAGUUUUUAUUUAUCUCCUUAUUAUGAA
rnacentral:tRNA from 1 species